rnacentral:tRNA from 1 species
AGCAGUGUAGCAUAGUGGUUAAGGAGCAGGGCUCAUGACCAAAAGGUUGCUGGUUCAAUUCCCUGCUGGGGCACUGCUG